ACUAAGCGCAUACGGUGGAUGCCUUGGCAGUCAGAGGCGAUGAAGGACGUAGUAGCCUGCGAAAAGCUUCGGGGAGUCGGCAAACAGACUUUGAUCCGGAGAUGUCCGAAUGGGGAAACCCACCUGGUAUAAGCCAGGUAUCCUGUACUGAAUACAUAGGUGCAGGAGGCGAACGAGGGGAACUGAAACAUCUAAGUACCCUUAGGAACAGAAAUCAAUUGAGAUUCCCCUAGUAGCGGCGAGCGAACGGGGAGUAGCCUGCAAGUGAUAGCAGUUGGGUUAGUGGAACGGUCUGGAAAGUCCGGCGAUAGAGGGUGAUAGCCCCGUACACGAAAACCUGGUUGUGAUACUGAGCUUGCGACAAGUAGGUCGGGACACGUGUUAUCUUGACUGAAUAUGGGGGGACCAUCCUCCAAGGCUAAAUACUACUGACUGACCGAUAGUGAACCAGUACCGUGAGGGAAAGGCGAAAAGAACCCCGGAGAGGGGAGUGAAAUAGAUCCUGAAACCGCGUGCGUACAAGCAGUGGGAGCUCUGUCUUUUGAUGGGGUGACUGCGUACCUUUUGUAUAAUGGGUCAGCGACUUAUUGUCUGUAGCAAGCUUAACCGUUUAGGGGAGGCGUAGGGAAACCGAGUCUUAACAGGGCGCAUUAGUUGCAGGCAAUAGACCCGAAACCGGGCGAUCUAUCCAUGGCCAGGGUGAAGGUUGAGUAACAUCAACUGGAGGCCCGAACCCACUUAUGUUGAAAAAUGAGGGGAUGAGCUGUGGAUCGGAGUGAAAGGCUAAUCAAGCCCGGAGAUAGCUGGUUCUCCUCGAAAUCUAUUUAGGUAGAGCGUCAUGUCUUACCCGCGGGGGUAGAGCACUGUUUCGGCUAGGGGGUCAUCCCGACUUACCAACCCGAUGCAAACUCCGAAUACCGCGGAGUACAAUCAUGGCAGACAGACUACGGGUGCUAACGUCCGUUGUCGAGAGGGCAACAACCCAGACCGCCAGCUAAGGUCCCUAAUACCAGUUAAGUGGGAAACGAUGUGGGAAGGCUUAGACAGCUAGGAGGUUGGCUUAGAAGCAGCCAUCCUUUAAAGAAAGCGUAAUAGCUCACUAGUCGAGUCGGCCUGCGCGGAAGAUAUAACGGGGCUAAAUUGGUAACCGAAGCUGCGGAUGCGUGUGCUUCACUUAAAUGCAUUAAGAGAUGGUGCUGAAGUUGAGGGAAAUAGGGGACAGACCCCGUUUUUCCUUGAUGUUCGGUGUUGUCUGUCGGUGGGAAAAAUGGGGUCUGUCCCCUAUUUCCAGCCAAGUGGAUUUAAGGAAGUGCACGCAUGGUAGAGGAGCGUUCUGUAAGCCGUUGAAGGUGAACCGGGAGGUUUGCUGGAGGUAUCAGAAGUGCGAAUGCUGACAUGAGUAACGAUAAGGGGGGUGAAAAACCUCCCCGCCGGAAGAUCAAGGUUUCCUGUCCAACGCUAAUCGGGACAGGGUGAGUCGGCCCCUAAGGCGAGGCAGAAAUGCGUAGUCGAUGGAAAGCGGAUUAAUAUUCCCGCACUUGUUUAUAUUGCGAUGGAGGGACGGAGUAGGCUAGGUCAUCAGGGCGUUGGUUGUCCCUGUUUAAGGCUGUAGGCUGGUUGCUUAGGUAAAUCCGGGUGAUCAUCAGGCUGAGAGCUGAUGACGAGCUUUAGUGAGAGCUAAAGUGAAGUGAUCGAUGCCAUGCUUCCAAGAAAAGCUUCUAAGCUUCAGAUAUAGACGAACCGUACUGUAAACCGACACAGGUGAUCAGGUAGAGAAUACCAAGGCGCUUGAGAGAACUCGGGUGAAGGAACUAGGCAAAAUGGUACCGUAACUUCGGGAGAAGGUACGCCGGCUUUGGUGAUGGGACUUGCUCCCUAAGCUGAGGCUGGUCGAAGUGACCAGGUGGCUGCGACUGUUUAUUAAAAACAUAGCACUGUGCAAACACGUAAGUGGACGUAUACGGUGUGACGCCUGCCCGGUGCCGGAAGGUUAAUUGAUGGGGUUAUCUUCGGAGAAGCUCUUGAUCGAAGCCCCGGUAAACGGCGGCCGUAACUAUAACGGUCCUAAGGUAGCGAAAUUCCUUGUCGGGUAAGUUCCGACCUGCACGAAUGGCGUAACGAUGGCCACACUGUCUCCACCCGAGACUCAGUGAAAUUGAAAUUGCGGUUAAGAUGCCGUAUACCCGCGGCUAGACGGAAAGACCCCGUGAACCUUUACUAUAGCUUCACAGUGGACUCUGACUUUACCUGUGUAGGAUAGCUGGGAGGCUUUGAAGCAGCGGCGCUAGCUGUUGUGGAGCCAACCUUGAAAUACCAGCCUGGUAACGUUGGGGUUCUAACUCAGGUCCAUUAUCUGGAUCGAGGACAUUGUGUGGUGGGUAGUUUGACUGGGGCGGUCUCCUCCCAAAGAGUAACGGAGGAGCACGAAGGUGCGCUAAUCAUGGUCGGAAAUCAUGAGGUUAGUGUAAAGGCACAAGCGCGCUUGACUGCGAGUCUGACAAGACGAGCAGGUACGAAAGUAGGUCUUAGUGAUCCGGUGGUUCUGAAUGGAAGGGCCAUCGCUCAACGGAUAAAAGGUACUCCGGGGAUAACAGGCUGAUACCGCCCAAGAGUUCACAUCGACGGCGGUGUUUGGCACCUCGAUGUCGGCUCAUCACAUCCUGGGGCUGAAGCCGGUCCCAAGGGUAUGGCUGUUCGCCAUUUAAAGUGGUACGCGAGCUGGGUUUAGAACGUCGUGAGACAGUUCGGUCCCUAUCUGCCGUGGGCGUUGGAGAAUUGAGGGAAGCUGCUUCUAGUACGAGAGGACCGAAGUGGACGAACCCCUGGUGUUCGGGUUGUGUCGCCAGACGCAUUGCCCGGUAGCUACGUUCGGACAGGAUAACCGCUGAAAGCAUCUAAGCGGGAAGCCCCUCCCAAGACUAGUUCUCCCUGGGAAUUUAAUUCCCCUGAAGGGCCGUCCAAGACUAGGACGUUGAUAGGCUGGGUGUGUAAGCGUUGUGAGGCGUUGAGCUAACCAGUACUAAUUGCCCGUGAGGCUUGACC
rnacentral:rRNA from 1 species